rnacentral:rRNA from 1 species
GGGUGAGUAACACGUAGGGAACCUGCCCGCGCACCGGGAAUACGCUCUGGAAACGGAGAACAAAUCCCGAUGUACAGGAAGGAGGCAUCUUCUUUCUGUGAAACAUCCUUUAGGGGAUGGGGCGCGGAUGGACCUGCGGUGCAUUAGUUGGUUGGUGGGGUAAAGGCCCACCAAGACGAUGAUGCAUAGCCGGCCUGAGAGGGCGGACGGCCACAUUGGGACUGAGACACGGCCCAGACUCCUGCGGGAGGCAGCAGUAGGGAAUUUUCGUCAAUGGGCGCAAGCCUGAACGAGCGAUGCCGCGUGAGUGAAGAAGGCCUUCGGGUCGUAAAGCUCUGUUGCGGGGGAAAAAAGGCAGCAUCAGGAAAUGGGUGCUGACUGAUGGUGCCCCGCCAGAAAGUCACGGCUAACUACGUGCCAGCAGCCGCGGUAAUACGUAGGUGGCGAGCGUUAUUCGGAAUGAUUGGGCGUAAAGGGUGCGCAGGCGGUCCUGCAAGUCUGGAGUGAAACGCAUGAGCUCAACUCAUGCAUGGCUUUGGAAACUGGAGGACUGGAGAGCAGGAGAGGGCGGUGGAACUCCAUGUGUAGCGGUAAAAUGCGUAGAUAUAUGGAAGAACACCAGUGGCGAAGGCGGCCGCCUGGCCUGUUGCUGACGCUGAGGCACGAAAGCGUGGGGAGCAAAUAGGAUUAGAUACCCUAGUAGUCCACGCCGUAAACGAAG